rnacentral:rRNA from 1 species
GAGUUUGAUCCUGGCUCAGAACGAACGCUGGCGGCGUGCUUAACACAUGCAAGUCGAACGUGAUCCGGAGCUUGCUCCGGUGAAAGUGGCGCACGGGUGAGUAACGCGUGGAUAAUCUGCCCUGGUAUCUGGGAUAACAUCUCGAAAGGGGUGCUAAUACCGGAUAAGCCUACGGACUCCUCGGAGUCUGCAGGAAAAGGAGGCCUCUAUUUAUAAGCUUCCGUAUCAUGAUGGGUCCGCGUACCAUUAGCUAGUUGGUGGGGUAAUGGCCCACCAAGGCUACGAUGGUUAGCUGGUCUGAGAGGAUGAUCAGCCACACUGGAACUGAGACACGGUCCAGACUCCUWCGGGAGGCAGCAGUGGGGAAUUUUGSGCAAUGGGGGAAACCCUGACGCAGCAACGCCGCGUGAGUGAUGAAGGCUUUCGGGUCGUAAAGCUCUGUCAGAGGGGAAGAAAUGAGCCUGGCUAAUAUCCAGGUUUCUUGACGGUACCCUCAAAGGAAGCACCGGCUAACUCCGUGCCAGCAGCCGCGGUAAUAC